GUUAUUUCUUGUUCUGGUAAUAUCAAGUCCAGAUUUUGAACAAAGGCUUUUGGAAGCACGCAUUAAGGCGGCGUGCACUUCUGUAACAAUCUUAAUUUCAGCUUCUUCCUCCUGUCAUCUCCUACAGUUGUGUAUGAGUUGUACGGUUCAUUGUUUGAUUUACUUUCAGUUAUUUCCGUCAGUUCUGUUCACCGGGUGUUCUUUCAAUGUAAUGAACCCUAUUUAUCCCUCCAAGCAUGUAUGCUAACUUCAACUGUUUUUGUGACUGGGAAGGAAGAAAAAAAGGCACUUCAUGAAAAAUCAUUUUGUUUCCAGUUUGAGGUUUGGUGGGGCAGGGAAGCUUGGCUGAAACUUCCAUCAAGAGCCCAAGUUUUGUCUGAAUCCUUAUAGGCAAGUGACGUCAGUGAUUAGAAGGUGAGCUUUUAGCAUUGCACCUGAGCUUGCAUUUCUCUCUUUCAGUUGGGACACAGAUGUAAAAUUUCCCAACAUAUCUGGAGUUUUGUUUUUGUUUUGUUAGGAAGUUAUGUUUGUUUUUUUUUUUAACAUCCUGGCGGAAGGAAGAGCUUUUAUGUUAAUUGCUCUUACAAGUUCUCAGCUCCCUAAUAGAUGUAUUGCUUUGAAGAAUGUGGUUAUUUUUGCUUGGUUUUGCAGGAGUGCGGCAGUGGUGUUUUCAGCUUUCUUGUGUCAUCGUUCUUCUUCCUUAGCAUUUGUUGUAGCACUUAAGAGGAAAUACCGAACAUCUUCAUGCCUGGAAAGGCAAUCACCACAAAAAAAGAGUGGGGUGUUAGCGAUGUUAGAUUUGUAGCACCUCAUCUGGUCUUGGUGGGACGGUACAGUGAUGUUAGGUUUGUGCUUAAUAAAUUAAUGGCACAUCCAAAACACAGAAGCAUUUGCUUCAAUACAAGCAAGUCAUCUUGUCUCCGCUACAUUCCUGGUGCAGUGGUGAUGAGUUAGUGACCCGGAAGAAAUCUAGUGCCUCUACAGAUAGCUAGAGCCCCAUAUCAUCUGUGUAUUGUAUAUGUGGAAUAUUUUGUGAAUAUUUCACUUAAUCAUCAAGAUUUUGCAGUUAACCAUUUAAUAGCAUUGGGGUUUUUUUGUGUUGUUUUCUUUCACUGUUAGUGCUCCAAAGCUCUAUUCUUCUUCAGUCCUUGGCAACUUCCUUGUCGACCAAAUCCUCAGUGACAGCGCUGUCAUGCUAUUUUCUCAUCGAGAGACUGGUAAUUGAAAACGGUGUGCAACAAUUAUCUUUUUCUAUGCGUGCAAGUAAGAAGUGGCAACACAACAUGUUAAAAGAUUGCAUUUAUGUGUUGUUGUUUUUUUUUAAGCAAAAAAAUUACAAGUCAGAAUUUUUUAGUUACAACUUAGUUCCUGAGAAUACUGCUUUGCAGUAGAGGUAAAUAAUUGUUCAGAAGCUUAAUAUGGGUGUCUGCAAAAAGAAACAGAACAGCAUUGAAAGUGAGGAAUGAAGAAAUCGGCUAAGAUAGCUUGUCUUUCUGAUCCUCUUUCUAUUCGUCUGUGUCUGAAAGUAGGAUCUGAAAGGAGAGAUCCUUAGAUCUUAAAGUCAACGCUGUGAGACAUGGUGGGAGAACGUGUGGGUGAGAGAAUUACGUUUCUGGGUUGCGUCAGUUCUGCUGCCGUUGACUGCUCUUCUUAGCUAGAGUGAGGUGGCAAACGGGUGGGUUAAUGACUCAUCUGGGGACCUUCUGCUGAUGGGGUUUUUGGCUUUGUAGCAGGUGGAAUUUCAGGGUAUGGCUGCAGGUCUGAACAGCCGUCCUUACUGAGAACUGCCACAGACCAAUGUAUUUGGUUGCUUUUGUCGUAAGAGCAUGUCUCUCCCUUACAGCAAUGACUGGAAGCCAUCGCGACUGAGCGCUGAAAUAAAAAUCCAGUUCUUUCUUAAAUGCUAUGUAGAAGGGUUGUUCAAAUGCAUCAUUCUUCUUCCAAAAUGAGACUGCCUCUUCCUCGACUAAAGGGAAGUUCCUCAAUCCCCAGACCCUCUUGUAACCUCCGGGGUCUGGGAAAUGUGAGGGAGUGCCUUUUCACUGAAGACAGAAGUAAAGAAGGCAUUCAGUAUCUCUGCCUUCUCAGCAUCCCUUGUUACCUUACUUAGUUAGGGGCCUACAUUCUCUCUAGUUUUCCUUUUGCUGUUGACAUACUUUAAAAAGCCUUUUUUUAUUAUCCUUUAUCACUGUAGCUACAUUUAACAAGUCAUUUGUGUUUAGGAGAAUAAUAGUGUUUAAGCACUCCUGUUGCCAAUGUUGUCAUGUAAGUAUUUAAGGGAAACGAUUCCUUUUCUUGUGGGCAUUGGCAGCGGCUGUGUUGCAUUUAACAUUCUGGUACCCUUUCAGCUCACUUGUACAAACAUAGCUGGGCAUGUCAAUAGCCAUAAUGUUUUGAAGUUCUCUUAUAUGGUAGAGACGCCUUAUUACCUAGUUACUUUCCAUAUUCAACUUUUCUUCCUUAAUAGGCACGCUGAAAGAGGAGGCGAUGGUGUUAUUCAGUACUAUGGACACAAAAGUUUCUUGGGGUAUAAAGUCUUUGUAGGUUGUGAGUUAAUAUGUGCCUUUUAUGAGGUGGUUCUUUUAUUUAUACUUCACGUUUAAGGAAGAAAGUCAGUCGGGCGAGGCAGUUUUAAAAGGCAGAAGCAAAAUGCCAUCAUCUGCACGGGGAAGAAAGACGUGAUGUUUUUAUUAAUGGAGAAGCACGAGAAGUUGUCAAGCGCAUGUUUCAGAAUUAGCUACGUUGACGGUGAAAUUAAAAUCGCUUUGGGGAGUUGAAGGCUUUAGAACGUUUGGGAUAGGUAACAGUUUUGAUGUAAGAAUUUGAGCAAUCGGUCUUUAGAGACCUUACGCGUUUCGGUGGCAAACAGGAACUGUUUUCUGGGCUACCACUGAAACAUCCCAUUCAUGUGGUUACUACCUAUAAUCGGUUAGGCUCAGUCACAGAAUUGACUUUAUUGUGAAAAAAAUUAACUUGAUUCUUUUUCUCCACAACAGCACAAAGCGAAUACCCCCUUCUGGAUAAAUUUUUCUGUUGUAUUCAGCAUAUGGGUCUGUUCCUUUUGAGUUUGAGCAGAAGCAUACGUAGCAAUGCAAAGUAAGGGACCGAAUCUAUAUGAACAUGCAGAAGCAUUGCUGGCUCUCAAAGUGCAAGAUCCAGGCUCACAUCUAUAUGUUUAAACUAUUUAUGAGCCAAAAAUUGUAAGUGUAGAUCGUGGUUGAGUUGUUCCAUUCAUAUUGGUGUGUGAUUGACUGUAGUUUGAAAGUACUUUGAGAAUUUUAGUGAUACGAGUAAUUGAGGUGUGUGUGUUUGUGAUUUUUGUUGUAAAGACUCGGUAACGUGAGCCUUAGUGGCAAAGAUGUGCAAUUGAACAGCCUUCACGAUACUUGGAUGCUAUAAGGUACGUAGGUAGAGAAAAGCUUUGGGGGCUGAAGCCGGUGGACUAAAGGACUGACCCCAGUUUGGAAGGCUCUAGCUCCAGCACGAGAAGUCAACUUCAAUUCACAAUCAAGAAUAUGAAACUUUCAGCUCGGUGUUGAGGGAUGUAGGAUGAAUGUGGGUGCAACCGAGCGCACCCUUCCAUCCCGCUGUGGUUCUGAGUCCAGGCGUCUUGUAGCUGUAGCCCGGAAGGCUGUGCAGUGCACGGUGUAUUACAGUGCUACAGACUUAAGUUGUUUCAGAAUAAGCUGUUAGAAUGAGCUGUUGUCAGAUGUAAACUUUUACCUCAUUUAAUGGACUCAACCGCAGUCGAUCCUUUCUGGAAAGGCUUUUUAAACAUGUGUUCUCUGGACUUUGAUACUUUAUUGAAUUUGAUGGACUUCCUUAUCUUGAGUGUUAACUGGAAUCUCUGUUAGAGACUUAAUUAUUCAAUUACUUUAGAUACUGGGAAGUUAAUGAUAAACUCAGAAACAUGCUGCAUAGCUAGCUGUGUUCUUAAUUAUGUUGACACCACACUGGAGUUGAUUUGAUUUAGUUUCUCCACGUUUGGUGUGGCUUUCCAGUUUCAUCUCCCUUCAUUUCAGCCAUGCCGUGUCGUUCCAGGCAUCUCGAGUCGUUCAGGCUUUCAUUGAGGAGCUGUUGUGAGCCACAGGAGGAGCGUUCCGCAUCGGCCCAUCCCUCUGUGCUCUGAUUCUCAAAGCCAGGUGCUCUCCUUUAACCGGGAGGGCUUUUGCUGAAGCCACAAACUUCUCCCUGAUUUAUGAGUAAAUUGUUCCUUGUAGGAGGAAGGGCUGUUUAUUUCCCUACCCUAAAGUGAUUGCACGAAGGCCAAAUCUCCGCCCAUUCUGAAGACAGGUCUGAUCUAUGUGAUAAAAACAUGAAAUUUUGCUGGAGGCAGAGCAGAACGCUCCUCAUCCUCCUAGAAGACACCUCCUGACUUGUCGGGAGAAUGAAGCUUCUGGCGUUCUGUGGCUUUCUGGUUGUCUUUCUUUUGUGCCUCGGUGCCUUUGCUGCGGAAGGUACGGUAUAUUUUUCUAAGGCAGACAUUGCUUUUCUUCUCCUGUGCUUCCCUCUUGUAGCUUAAAAAAGAAGUGCUCUUUCUCUAAUCCUUUGUUGAAUUUAAUUAAAGAGAACGAACAGAGCUUGGCGAUCAAGGAGGAGAAGAGAACAAAUUCAGGGAAGAAAUUAGAGCUGCCGAGCGCGUCUUUGCUUGCUUCGCAUGUCAGUUUUUUCUUUGCUACCUGUCGCUAACUGUGCAGAGUUCUCAGCCUUCACCUGUGUUCUGAAACCCACUCCCUCUCUGCAGACCUAACAAAUAAGACCUUGUUAUAUUUUUUCUGUAGAUAAUUAUCUAACAUGAUAAGAGCUGCACGUUGCCUGAAUAGGGAAGAAAGUGUUAGCGAACGUGUCAUUACGCUUCUGGAAUGAGGGGAGCAUGGAACAGAAUUGGAGUAAAUAGGAAGCUCUGAUCAGAGCGUGAGACAGGUGACAGUAGCUCUCCAGACCGUCAGACCAUCUCAGGAUUUUUCCUCAGUGCUGAUACUGCAUUAUGUAAUUACUGCGUGACUUUGUGGUGCUCAUGUACCAUUUUGCAGUAUUCCCGAGUAUGGAGUUUAAACGUUAGAGCAGGUUUCGCUGUCCACAGAACAAAUAUGCAGAUGCCAUUCUGGCUUUGUGAGGGAAAGGGUUUAGCGUAGUUUUGAAACCAAAGGAUGUAACUCUUAGAACUCUCGGUUACCUGUUCAGAUUGUAUCUUUGAUGUUGUCAAGGUGUGAGACCUAUCAUAUUGUUCCACGGGGUUUAUUUUUUACACGAGAUGUAGGGAAUGAACGUGAGAUAAGAAAAGCCAAGUGAGCGUGCAGUGAUGAAAAGCGGUAGGUUUGCUGCGUUCUAGAAAGCUCAGAAAAUCAUUCAACAUGUGUAGAUGAGCGUGGAGAAACACGUAGAUUGUCAAGAGCACUCUGAUCAGCAGAACUCUUCCUAAGUAAUGUGCACAAAGUUUCCCAGUCACGUAAACAUGUGAGUGUGCUCAAGCGCAACUGAUGCAGUAGUGUUGAAGAGCGCUCCAGAAUGAGCUGCAGCUACCUGCUCGCUUAUGACCAGAGCCCCAACACAGCGUUACACAUUCCAGCCGCAGAAUAAGCGCCUGGGUGUACAAAUUGAAGGUGCUUUUUAUGUAAAAUCUGUUAGAUCUGAAUGAGAUCAGAAUGAGGUAGUGGGACAUCUCAAGCCUCUUGGAUGCUGGAACAGCCACCGUCACUUGCCUCAGCUGUAGAACUGUGCCAUGGGGAUUUCCAGGACCGCUAAGCAUAUGGGAGGUUUUGCCGUUCAGAACUCGAGCGCCUUCAUCCCUCUUGUUCUGUUUCUGCCGUGUGCUUGCUACCUUGCCAACCUUUCUUCUCCUUAUAGUGUACCAAGCAUUUAAGCGUAAUCAGUGGCUCACUUAGAUCUCUUAGGUGGGGUGUGACUAAAUGUCUUUGCUUGUUCAAAGCAAUUCAUUCUGUACCUCUGUGAGUGUGGACCCAGAGACGUUCUACUUGUCCUCUUGGUAGUCUUCUUCUAUCUGGCACGUUGCAUCCGCUCAUAAGGACCAAAGAGGAUGAUUUAAUUUCUGUUCUGUGCUAGUAGUGUCAUGUCAAUGCAUAGAAAUAUCAGUCAUAAUGAUCUUUUGUCUCUGAGAUCUCUCUUCGUCAAGGAAUCAAUGUGUCUGUGAACUCUGACACGUACUGUGUGUGUACUCUGCAUCUUUUGUUUCCCUUGACGGAGUAUUAUUUUUUCACUCUUAGGUCGGAAUGUUAAAAAAGGUUGCUGUGUGAAAUUGGCCAAAAUCAACAGAAAAGCGCAUAAAGGUACACAUUCCAAAAUGACGCCAAUGCAAAUAAGGAAAUGCAAGCCUUGUGCUGCACCCAGCCCUCUCUUUGUUCCAGGACCCCUUCCGCAGCUAAAAUGAGUGGAUGGAGUAUCUGCCUGCCCGCAUGUCCCAGCGCUUCACUUGGUGGAGGGUCCUCUUUUCACAAACAGCGCACAAAUACCCACCGCUUCGGUCAAUACGUAUGCGUUCCCUCAGGCUUCAUCCUGUUGUCAUUAACUUGGCAGCCAAAGUGCUGUUUUGGUGAGUGACAAUCAACAAGAACAUAGAACUACAUAUAAAUUAUACAAAAAGUGCGAUUAAAGUAAUAGCAGAACAGCUAGAUGCCACACACCGGAAAAGAAAUGAUCUAGCAGGAGAAAAAUCCUGCUAGAAAAGGGGGGAAUGAAUGGUGAAGUGAGAGACAGAGGCUCUGCUGGAAUUUAGAAUAAAGGGGGGCUAAAGGGGGAUAGUUAAAGGUAGUUUGUAGAUUGGAAAAGGAAUGAGAAGUUAGUUAGAAUGACAAGGAUCAGAGACAACGGGUCUGGGGGAGCAGGAAGGAUGCAGAUAAGGAGUGAGAUCUCCCCCAGACAUUGGGUGAGGAGAGGAUUAGAAGUUUUAAUACCAGAAGAGGAGUUGCAUCUCCCUGAUAAGAUGGGCGAUAACAAGAGGGGGGUCUGCAUGCUAAAGAACUAUUGAAUAUGUAUCCGAAUUCCAGGAAAUUAUUGACUAUGUAUACUGACAUAGUUUAACCUAUGUCAGUCACGAUUUUACACAUUGGUGUGCAAGUUUGGUGGAGCUAUCCCCCUUGUGCCCAGCGCCACGCAACACUAAAAUAAACAUACCUGCUUUAUAACCAA